AUGUGCGAAACAAAAAGUUGUCAUAAUCACAUGAAGAAAUUUCUUGGUCGUCGCAUUCGACAUUUCAAUGACGGCAUGCGACUUCCUCUCAAUACUUCUCAGCAAGUUGACCUUGUCUAGAGGAGCAUUAGUGGAAAAAAACAGGGUAGCCCUGAG